UAGUCCACGCCGUAAACGAUGGACACUAGUUGUCGGGAAGCUUGACUUUUCGGUGACGGAGCUAACGCAUUAAGUGUCCCGCCUGGGGAGUACGUCCGCAAGGAUGAAACCCAAAGGAAUUGACGGGGGCCCGCACAAGCGGUGGAGCAUGUGCUUUAAUUCGAUGCAACGCGAAGAACCUUACCUGGUCUUGACAUGGUACUGCCCGUCCUAGAGAUAGGAUUUUAUCUUCGGAUACGGUACACACAGGUGCUGCAUGGUUGUCGUCAGCUCGUGUCGUGAGAUGUUGGGUUAAGUCCCGCAACGAGCGCAACCCCUACUCUUAGUUGCCAGCACAUAAUGGUGGGAACUCUAAGGGGACUGCCCCGGCUAACGGGGAGGAAGGUGGGGACGACGUCAAGUCAUCAUGGCCCUUACGUCCAGGGCUACACACGUGCUACAAUGGCCGGUACAACGGGCAGCUAGACAGUGAUGUUCAGCGAAUCCCUUAAAACCGGUCUCAGUUCGGA
rnacentral:rRNA from 1 species